AUGGACGCCUCCUACCGCCGCUCAGGUGCGGGCGGCGGCGGCGGCUCAGCCCCCCGCACCGUCGAGGACAUCUUCAAGGACUACCGCGCCCGCCGCAACGCCAUCCACCGCGCCCUCACCCACGACGUCGAGGAGUUCUACGCGCAGUGCGAUCCAGAGAAGGAGAACCUGUGCCUGUACGGGUACGCCAACGAGGCGUGGGAGGUGGCGCUGCCCGCGGAGGAGGUGCCCACCGAGCUGCCGGAGCCGGCGCUCGGGAUCAACUUUGCGCGCGACGGGAUGAAGCGCAGCGACUGGCUCGCGCUCGUCGCCGUCCACUCCGAUUCGUGGCUUGUCUCCGUAGCUUUCUACUAUGCCGCGCGGCUCACCCGCAACGACCGGAAGCGUUUAUUUGGCAUGAUGAAUGAUUUGCCAACCGUGUAUGAAGUCAUCUCAGGUAUGAGACAAUCGAAGGAGAGGGACAGAUCGGGUGGUAUUGACAACAGCGGUAGAAACAAGCUGCCAUCAAAGCAUACAGUCGAGGCGCCGCCACCACCACGUGCAGAAAAUAACGCCAGGGAUGCCGAUGAAGGCUACGAUGAAGAUGACGGCGACCACAGCGAGACCUUAUGCGGAACAUGCGGUGGCAUAUACAGCGCCGAGGAAUUCUGGAUUGGUUGCGAUGUGUGCGAGAGGUGGUACCAUGGCAAGUGCGUGAAGAUAACUCCGGCGAAGGCGGAGAGCAUAAAGCAGUACAAAUGCCCAAGCUGCAGCUCCAAGAGACCUAGGCAGUAG
rnacentral:rRNA from 1 species